rnacentral:rRNA from 1 species
GACGAGCGCUGGCGGCGUGCUUUACACAUGCAAGUCGAACGGUGAAGGUGGAGCUUGCUCCGCCGGAUCAGUGGCGAACGGGUGAGUAACACGUGGGCAACCUGCCCCUAACUUUGGGAUAACUACUCGAAAGAGUAGCUAAUACCGGAUACGAAGUCUGUAGGCAUCUACGGAUUUGGAAAGUUUUUCGGUUAGGGAUGGGCCCGCGGCCUAUCAGCUUGUUGGUGAGGUAGUGGCUCACCAAGGCGACGACGGGUAGCCGGCCUGAGAGGGCGACCGGCCACACCGGGACUGAGACACGGCCCAGACUCCUACGGGAGGCAGCAGUGGGGAAUAUUGCGCAAUGGGCGAAAGCCUGACGCAGCAACGCCGCGUGCGGGAUGAAGGCCUUCGGGUUGUAAACCGCUUUCAGCAGGGAAGAAGCGAAAGUGACGGUACCUGCAGAAGAAGCACCGGCUAACUACGUGCCAGCCGCCGCCGUAA